rnacentral:rRNA from 1 species
AGUGAACGCUGGCGGUAGGCCUAACACAUGCAAGUCGAACGGCAGCACAGUAAGAGCUUGCUCUUACGGGUGGCGAGUGGCGGACGGGUGAGGAAUACAUCGGAAUCUACUUUUUCGUGGGGGAUAACGUAGGGAAACUUACGCUAAUACCGCAUACGACCUACGGGUGAAAGCAGGGGAUCUUCGGACCUUGCGCGAUUGAAUGAGCCGAUGUCGGAUUAGCUAGUUGGCGGGGUAAGGGCCCACCAAGGCGACGAUCCGUAGCUGGUCUGAGAGGAUGAUCGGCCACACUGGAACUGAGACACGGUCCAGACUCCUACGGGAGGCAGCAGUAGGGAAUAUUGGACAAUGGGCGCAAGCCUGACCCAGCCAUACCGCGUGGGUGAAGAAGGCCUUCGGGUUGUAAAGCCCUUUUGUUGGGAAAGAAAAGCAGCAGGUUAAUACCCCGCUGUUCUGACGGUACCCAAAGAAUAAGCACCGGCUAACUUCGUG